rnacentral:tRNA from 1 species
GGUUUUAUAGUUUAUUUAAAACUUUAAAUUGCAAAUUUAACGAUGAUUUAUUUCUAGGACCU